AACGUAGGAGACAAACGUUAUCCGGAGUUACUGGGCGUAAAGGGCGUGUAGGUGGUUUCGUAAGUCUGGCGUGAAAUAUCUCGGCUUAACCGAGGCAGGUCGUCGGAUACUGCGGGACUAGAGGACGGUAGAGGCGUGUGGAAUUCCGGGUGUAGUGGUGAAAUGCGCAGAUAUCGGGAGGAAUACCGGUGGCGAAGGCGGUUCUCUGGGCCUGUACUGACGCUGAGGAGCGAAAGCGUGGGGAGCGAACAGG
rnacentral:rRNA from 1 species